rnacentral:piRNA from 1 species
UAGCCAAGACACCAGACCACCCUCAAC